UACGUAGGGGGCAAGCGUUGUCCGGAUUCAUUGGGCGUAAAGAGCGUGUAGGCGGCCAGGUAGGUCGGUUGUGAAAACUGGAGGCUCAACCUUCAGACGUCGACCGAAACCAUCUGGCUAGAGUCCGGGAGAGGAGAGUGGAAUUCCUGGUGUAGCGGUGAAAUGCGCAGAUAUCAGGAAGAACACCCGUGGCGAAAGCGGCUCCUCUGGAACGGUACUGACGCUGAGACGCGAAAGCGUGGGGAGCGAACAGG
rnacentral:rRNA from 1 species